rnacentral:rRNA from 1 species
AGUGAACGCUGGCGGUAGGCCUAACACAUGCAAGUCGAACGGCAGCACAGUAAGAGCUUGCUCUUACGGGUGGCGAGUGGCGGACGGGUGAGGAAUACAUCGGAAUCUACUUUUUCGUGGGGGAUAACGUAGGGAAACUUACGCUAAUACCGCAUACGACCUACGGGUGAAAGCUGGGGAUCUUCGGACCUUUCGCGAUCGAAUGAGCCGAUGUCGGAUUUGCUAGUUGGCGGGGUAGAGACCCACCAAGGCGACGAUCCGUACCUGGUCUGCGAGGAUGGUCAGCACCACUGGAACGGGGCAACGGCCCAGACUCCUACGGGAGGCAGAGGUGGGGAAUAUUGGACAAGGGGCGCAAGCCGGAUCCAGACAUACCGCGUGGGUGAAGAAGGCCUUCGGGUUGUAAAGCCCUUUUGUUGGGAAAGGAAAGCAGCAGGUUAAUACCCCGCUGUUCUGACGGUACCCAAAGAAUAAGCACCGGCUAACUUCGUG